UUCUGAGCACUUUAUGUAUGGCCUG
rnacentral:piRNA from 1 species